rfam:Biomphalaria glabrata isolate BB02 unplaced genomic scaffold LGTN_random_Scaffold496, whole genome shotgun sequence.
GUGGGCUACGGUGACAUGUACCCCAAGACGACUUGGGGCUAUUUCGUUGGCGCUGCCACUGGGAUCGCUGGAGUCCUUCUCAUCAGCUUCACUGUGCCGGUGCUUGUGAACAAC